GCUGACAGUCUCGUACGCUACACGUGAUGGUCGGUGCGCGUCAUCGAAGCGCCGUCGCUCGCCUGGAGACAGGAGCAGGGCUGACUGACACUGUGUGUGCAGGCUACUGUAAAUAAAGAAUAAAAACCCAACAAACUAACAGGGAACACAUAUGCAAGCCAGGCAGCAUCGGGAUAACUGAUAGCAGUUUCUCUCAUUCAUUCGCUGAGUUGUCUGUUUGGGUGUUUUUCAGUCCUUUUUUUUUCCAGAUUUGAGCGUGCCAAGUAAAGGGAAAGCUAAACAUGGCUGGUUUAAUGGCAGGUUUUGGUCAUUACACCCACGCCGUCGUCCGGGGAAUCCCUGCGUCCCUGACCAAAGAAGCGCUCCGGAGCAGCCAGUCGGACGUGGACCUGGCCAAGGCGCAGAGGGAGCACGAGGCGUACGUCGAGGUCCUGGGGACAAGGCUCGGGCUGGAGGUGGUCGAGCUCCCCGCGGACGAGUCGCUCCCGGACUGCGUGUUCGUGGAGGACGCGGCCGUGGUGUGUGGUGACACGGCGCUUAUCACCAGACCCGGGGCAGAGAGCAGGAGGAGAGAGACGGAGGCAAUGAAAGGAGCUCUGAAAGAUUUGAAUCUGAACAUUGUGGAAAUGACUGAUGAGAAUGCCACACUGGAUGGAGGAGAUGUGCUUUUUACAGGUCGAGAGUUCUUUGUGGGCCUUUCCAAACGGACCAAUCAGAGAGGAGCAGAGAUCCUAGCUGAUGCCUUUAAGGACUAUGCUGUGUCGACCGUGCCAGUGUUGGAAGGGCUACACCUGAAAAGCUUCUGCAGUAUGGGAGGACCAGGUCUCAUUGUCAUCGGAUCCAGUGAGCCAGCACAGAAAGCCCUCAAAAUCAUGCAGCAAAUGAGUGACCAUCGCUAUGACAAACUGACGGUGCCAGAUGAUCUCGCUGCCAAUUGCAUCUACAUGAACCUACCUAAUAAGGGACAUGUGCUUCUGCACUGCACAGCAGAGGAGUUUCCAGAGAGUGCAAAGGAACAUGCAGUUUAAUGCGAAGUGGACAUGACUCCAACCACAGACUACAAGCCAGAGACAUUGGAGUCGUAGGAAAAAACUCUGGAGUGCUGGACAUUUGUCAGGUGUUCGAGAAAUUGAAGGACCACAUGCUGAUCCCCGUGUCCAACAUGGAGAAGGUCAAAGUGGAUGGAGCCCUCACAUGCUGCUCUGUACUCAUCAACAAGAAGGCCAACAUCUGAACGCACUCACCAGGGGUUCUCUCAGUGCACGGUAACCAAGCAGAGCCUAUAUCUGAUCACCAAGGACUCAGUGGUUUAACAAAACUAUCUUUGUACCUGGAGUAAAGAUAGGCAAGUUUGUUAUUGCUGAGGGACAAAGAAAAUAUAAAUUGGAGGGAGUCAUCUGGUCUCCCCUUUCCCAACACACUAAAUUAAAAGGUCUUAAAAAGUGUGUGAAUAGUUCAGUUGACAUAAAACACACAAUUAGUUUUAGGUUAUUGUCUCUGUAGUAAUUAAGCUAUUACAUUAAAUUUAGUCUUAUUUUGCUCUUCAUUUUAUAUUACAUUUUCUAUUAUUAGCUGAAUACAAGGCAAAAGAACAGGCUUGCGGAUUAGAUAAUGGAUCAUAAAUUCUCCUUUAUGUCAAGCAAUAUGUUUUUAUAUCAGUAUUUGCUGAUACAACAACCAGUCUACAAGCCAUUCAAAUUAAAUUCUAAUUAAUUACAUGUCUGAUUAGGGAGAUCUGAUCCCAGAUCAGAAGGUGAGUAGACCAUGUGCCAUGUUUAGACCCCCCUUUGAAUCCGCAAAGCCCCUACUGCUCGUGUUUAAACCAUCCUUGCUUACUGUUUGAUGUUUAUAACCCUUUAAAAGAACCACACAGAAAAAAAGCACUGGACAAACAAAACCACAUGGAUCUGUUUGAUGUAGUUUUUGUUGCCAUUGAAAUGUGUCAUAACCAACACUGCAUUGCAGGUUUAUGAAUUUUAUAACUAACACAGACGUCUACAGUGAAACAUGUAUAUAGUCGAUUUAUACUGUUUACAUGCACCACUUUAAUUUUGUUUGUUUGGUUAUAUAUAUAUAUAAUGCAAUUGUAAUUCAUUGUUCAAGUACUUUAUUUUGGAGUAAGGUGGAGGGGAAAUCCUGCUACUUAAUGUCACUGUUGCUAUUUAGCAGUUUGUAUUUUCACUUAUUGCUGUUUCUUUACAUAAGUUGUUUCUCAUUCUGAAAAUACAGUUCUUGAAAAGCGUUCUGGAGAUGUAAACCUAUGGUAUGAUCGCACUGUCAUGAUUGUUUUUUUGAUUUAUGAUUUUGUGAUAUACUGCCAUUGAGACCUGAGGUGCUCUUACUUUUAACUACCACUGCUAACUAAUCAUUGCUCUUGAUCAUACAGUACUGGAGAUAAUUUCUGACUGAUCUCAAUAAUUGCUGUCCGCUAAAAAAGCUUAUUUAUGCUACAAGGACCAUGGCCAUCUUGUUUAAGAAAUUUUGCUGCCCUCCUGGUAAACAUUUGUUUAGAUUCAUGUUGGAAUGCAGAUUAAUCUGAGGCAACCUUACAGAGCCGCCUGUGUGGAAAAUGUACGUAUGUUUUCAUUAUUAUAAGAUGAGUUAAGCCUUCAUUUAUUCCAACAUAACACCUCUUCUCCUAUUAAUGUACAAUGCCUGUAUGGAAAAACAAUGACUUUCCUCCCACUGAAUGAUUCUGAAGGCACUGUCGUUUUCACACACCAUCGCUUCUGCCUGCAUUGUUGCUUACACUGGUUCUUUUUUUUAUCCUGUCUGGCAGCUUUUAUUCCAAAACUGACUAAGAGCAUGCUGUGAAACUGAUGUCUGUUCCACUAAAUCCAAUAGCACCAAAUGUGACUGCAGUGAGAUAGUUUGCACUCAGCAUGCAGAACAAGCUAACUGCCCCUGUUUGGUGUGUUUCCAUGUGUGUUCACAAUGGUAGCUACCAGCAGGAGUUUGAAGGAUGUUGAGCUCUGUUUUGGUGGCCUUAUCUCUGUUGUCGCUGAAUGUAAACAUGUACACUGUACGUACACUAUUCUCUGUACAAGUUAAAGCCCAUCACAUCUGAAACCAUGUUGUUUCUCAAUGUGACUGUAAGUGAAGAUUGAGGAAAUUACAUCAGGAGGUGAUUCAGCCUCCCUCCAUAGACGUUUGUGUAUGGGCAAGAGGGCAGUGAUGAUGAAACAUGGAAAGAAUUCCUGUUGGGAGGAGAGGCUUGUACACCAGUAAACACUGACUCUCUUAAACCUUCUCUUGACGGUUUCACUCUCAGCACUCACUUUCUCCCACCCUCUGCUAUUGCCUCAUAGACGAUCUGGGCUCAUUUAUGGCCAUGAUAUCAUACAGUCUGGCAAACGAUUGUAGAUGUGCCUGCCAUUAAAGUGUGACACAAGUAGUAUAUUUUACAGAAGGCAGCUGGCUGGAUGCAGGGUGAUAGCAUAGUUGCAGAGCAUCCAGUUCUGAUUCUCACACAGUCACUCCAAAAGGCUGAGCCAGACAGGACCAGUCAUACACCGUCUGAUUAAUACAAAGGCAAACACUGGAUUUUUGGCAAGUCAUGUAAUUUCAUCUAAAACUAUCAUCCUCUCUCACAUUGCUCCAAGUCACCUCCUGGGCUGUACUGCUCUGGGAUGCCAUUGCCUUUUCCUAUCAGUGAUUUAAAAAUCAGAAUAACAUUUAAUACAUUUUUGGCUCUCAGCUGGCAAGGCUAGAUGUGAGGAACAGCUCCUGAAAAAGUGUACUGACUUUGCGGAGGGUUUAUUUAACCACUUACUAAUCCUCUCACUCAUCCCACAUCCCAGUAGUCAUUGAUGUUGUGUUUGCCCUUGUUUAAACUCAGGUCUGUUGGUUUUCAUAUGUUGUGAGAAAUAAUUAUUUGAGUCAUCUAUAAUUGAGCCUGAGCGUCUUUGUGUAAUAAAUGAACAUCUAGCAUUUAA